rnacentral:rRNA from 1 species
UGCCAGCAGCCGCGGUAACACGUAAGGGACAAGCGCUGUCCGGAAUCACUGGGCGUAAGGGGAGCGUAGGUGGCGAGAUAAGUCAGAUGUGAAAGUUUGCGGCUCAACCGUAAAAUUGCAUUUGAUACUGUUUUGCUAGAGUAUCGGAGAGGAAAGCGGAAUUCCUGGUGUAGCGGUGAAAUGCGCAGAGAUCAGGAAGAACACCAAUGGCGAAGGCAGCUUUCUGGACGAUAACUGACACUGAGGCUCGAAAGCGUGGGGAGCGAACAGGAUUAGAUA